rnacentral:rRNA from 1 species
AUGAGUUCCUGCCUAUCCCAUAUGAUCAGAGAUCAUUCCCUUGACUUUGUUUGCCUGCAAGAGACCCAUAAGAAAAAAAAAUUGGACAGUUACUUCAGAAAGAUAGAUCCUCAUAGUAUGUUUGACUGGGAUUGGAUCCCAGACAUUGGGAAAUCACGAGGCAUCCUUUGUGGAAUGAAAAAGGAGAGGUUUGAAAUUAUUUCUUGGAGAAAAGGGAGAUUCAUUCUACAAGUUUGUUUCUUGGAUGUCAAAAUACAAAAAGUUUGGACAUUGUGUACAGUAUAUGGUGCUGCCCAUGAAUGUGACAAAAGUGAUUUCUUAGUGGAGUUAGCAGAUUUCUGUAGUCACAUUCAAACCCCUUUCCUUAUUGGAGGGGAUUUCAAUAUCCUCAGGCAUUGUGGAGAAAAAAACCAGAACUGGCACCACUCCACCCAUACUGACAUGUUCAAUUCAGUGAUUAACUCUAUGUGCUUGAGCGAGAUCCAUAUGCAUGGGGGUAUGUACACAUGGACUAACAAUCAAGCGCACCCGACGUUAGAAAAGUUAGAUCGUGUGUUGAUGAGUAAUGAUUGGGAGAGUAUGUUCCCUCUUGUUAAUGUUAGAAAGUUGGUUAGAGAUAUUUCAGACCAUAAUGCUCUCUUGGUGUCCUCGGACAAUAAUGUUGUAUGA